rnacentral:lncRNA from 1 species
CUUUGAAGACCAUUUUACAGAAUUGGUUUGCCAAGGUGGAAAGAGAAGCUCAUCAGUGAUGUGACUUAGCCAAAAGCACUGGUUAUACCUCUAUACCUCGGAGCCAACACUGAAAGCCCCGGCCAUAGUCUUUCUGCCCCAAGGAAAGCCUGGAGUGGGGGUGGGUGAUAUUGUCAAGAGCCAGGCCCCAGCUCCUCAUACACACAGCUCAUUUGCUCUCCCUCCCAACCCCCACCUUCAUACUUCUUCUACACGCAUACCAAAGAAAAUAAGAAUCUCAAGGUUGGAAAAUCCCACUUUGCUUCAAGUGAAGUCACUGGGUUGUCCCCAUGAAAUGUCUCCACAAUGGGUGUGCUAGACCUUUACUCUCUGUGGCACCACCAAGACCCCCUCACCCUGCCAGAGCCCUCUGAAAUGUACUCAGAAUGGAGGGGCUGGAAGCGGGGCCAGUGGUCCCGGUAGUCAGCCUCCCCUUCUGACACAAGAAUUAUCGUGGAACAGCUUGUGUGACCGAUCAACUGGUCUCUCCAUCUUUAAGCGAUUGUCUUGUUGACUCUGUUACUGCAGAGUUUGGGGAGGUCUCAUGGCUUCUCGCAUCCUAUUUCCUGAGCUUCCCUGAAGCCAACUUCUGGCCACUGGUAUGUGAUGCGAGCACAGUGCCUCCUCCUGCUCCUCCAGGAAGCUUCUGCUGAUUGAACGCAGGCCAGAUGGCGGGAUCUGGGGCAACCUUCUUAGAUCACAGGAAGGAAGGGGCACAAGAGGGGAGUAGGUAACAAGAUAAAAGGAGCUCCCUCCCUGAUGACUACAGAGCCAUCGUGGCAGCCCUGGGCCUCCAUUUCAGACUUUCAUCUUGCCUAAGCCACCACCAUCAGGGUCUCAGUCAGUGAUCAUUCUCAUUUACUUGGGUGGCUGGGCGAGGGCGGAAUACUACCUUCCAGCUGUCUGAGAUUAAGCAGAACAGCAGCUAAAGCAGUAACAGCAGGUCUCCUUCAGCAGCUUGCCACAGGGAAGAGGGUCCAGCGUGAACUGAACUCAACUUCCACCUGCGCAGAGGUAGCUACCAUUUGCGUAGAGGUGGCUGGGUCUUUAAGGCACGUCCUCGACCUCAGUUGCCACGUGCACAUGCUGGUGCCUUCCAGGUCGGUCUUUCUCCACCAGUCUCCACCUGCAACUUUCUUCCUUUUCGUCCUGUGCUGGCCUAACCCCUGCUCGGCCUCGGCCCUCAGCUGCCGGCUCUAACAAUGCCUCUGUCUUUCCGAGACCCCCGUGACCAGCUCAGGCUCUGCUCCCUGCGUUCCUCUCUCCUCGCUUCCCUCCCCGCCUCCCCGGGGCUUCCCCAUCAGUGUGGAUUCCGACCUCAUAAGGACCAGUCUAACGCUCUCUGCUGGAUGGAAGCGCAAAACGGACCCUCUCACUCUUGCCUUAUCCCCAGCACCAAGGAGGGGCUCAGUAAGUAUCAGCUGGAUAAGCAAAAGUAGAAACUCGAGUGGAUGCUGGAAAGAGGACGGGAGGGCGGCGGCAGGAGAAAAGUGGGGCCCACGAGGUCAGCUCCUCUUCCAUGAAGUUUGACAGUGAAGGACGCAGAGGAAUAGAGGAACCGUGAGACAGUACAGCAGAGUGAAGGGAAGCCUGACAACACUGAGGCCAAGCCCAGCAAGUUUGAAAGUGGAAGCUAAGGAGCCCUACGGGCCAAAGUGGGCGAAGGCGGUGAGGGCAGUAGAGUUGAAGGAUGGGUCCUGAAUCACAAAAGGCAGCGGGAAAGAAUGCCCGCCCAAAGGGACAAAGGAAGCAGGCAUCUGCAGGUCUGUGUUGUACCUGCCCUGAACCUGUUGCCAAUACAUGAUUGAAGGGGAGAGGAAAAAAAUUGUGGUUGCUUAUCUCAGGUGGCCUCAGUUUUGUUGGGCCAGUACAAGCUUAGGUCUUCUGAGAAAUGGAUAUUGGGAGUCAAGGGCCUAUGAAGAAAUAUGCUUGCUUAUAUAUUAGUUGGGAUCAACUAAAUACCGUAAGAAGCAGAGCCCAGAUGCAAAGGCUCCACAGUAUAACCUCUCCCCUACCGAAAUCUAACUGUUGCUCACUGGACAGUCCAGGAUGAGUGUUCAGGUUUUUUGGUCAUUCAGGCACUGCUUUGGUUCGAAUGUCUGCCGCCUCCAAAACUCAUCCUGCAACUUAAUUGCCAAUGUGGCGGUAUUGAGAAAUGGGCUUUUAAGACAUGAUCACUGGGUCACGAGGGCUCUGUCCUCAUGAAUGGACUCAUCAUUCAGGGUUAAUGGAUUAAUGGAUUAUCACAGGAGUGGGACUGGUGGCUUCUUAAGAAGAGAAAGAGACCUGAGGAAGCACACUGAACCCCUCACCAUAUGAUGCCCUGUACCACCCCGAGACCGCAGCGUCCCCACCAGCAAGAAGGUACUCAUGACAUGUGACCCCUUGACCUUGGACUUGUCAGCCUCUAGAGCUGUAAGAAAUAAAUUCUUUUUCUUUAUAAACUGUCCAGUUUCAGGUAUUCUGUUAUAAGCAACAGAAAACAAAGUAAGAUAGGCACCUAGGCUUUGCCAUCCCCUAACGUCCUAAGAAAGGGGAAAGAAAAUGGGGGCGCAUGAAGAGGACAUAGUCAUGGAC